GGAGAAACCAACCAAACUUUUUCUGAAAAUCACAACCAGUGGGUAACCUGGCUAUGCAAAGACCAAGUCAUCCGAAUGCAAUUUAUAGGCAUGCACUCUACCCACAGUUUCAAAAUGUUCCUCAACCCUCUCCAAUUAUCCAUAAUUCAACUUUUGAAGAGAAGGUUUUAUAAGCAUAGAAAGGGCUAGAAAAUAACAUCCAAAUCCUUCACUCCC
rnacentral:lncRNA from 1 species